UACGUAGGGUGCGAGCGUUAAGCGGAAUUACUGGGCGUAAAGCGUGCGCAGGCGGUGAUGUAAGACAGGUGUGAAAUCCCCGGGCUUAACCUGGGAACUGCAUUUGUGACUGCAUAGCUAGAGUACGGUAGAGGGGGAUGGAAUUCCGCGUGUAGCAGUGAAAUGCGUAGAUAUGCGGAGGAACACCGAUGGCGAAGGCAAUCCCCUGGACCUGUACUGACGCUCAUGCACGAAAGCGUGGGGAGCAAACAGG
rnacentral:rRNA from 1 species